rnacentral:rRNA from 1 species
UGAGGGAAUAUUGGGUCAAUGGGCGAGAGCCUGAACCAGCCAAGCCGCGUGAGGGAAGAAGGCGCUCAGCGUCGUAAACCUCUUUAGCCGGGGACAAAACCUCCUCGCGAAGGAGGCUUGAGAGUACCCGGAGAAUAAGCAUCGGCUAACUCCGUGCCAGCAGCCGCGGUAAUACGGAGGAUGCGAGCGUUAUCCGGAUUUAUUGGGUUUAAAGGGAGCGUAGGCCGGAGAUUAAGCGUGUUGUGAAAUGUAGACGCUCAACGUCUGCACUGCAGCGCGAACUGGUUUCCUUGAGUACGCACAAAGUGGGCGGAAUUCGUGGUGUAGCGGUGAAAUGCUUAGAUAUCACGAAGAACUCCGAUUGCGAAGGCAGCUCACUGGAGCGCAACUGACGCUGAAGCUCG